rnacentral:rRNA from 1 species
GACGAACGCUGGCGGCGUGCUUAACACAUGCAAGUCGAACGGAAAGGCCCUGCUUUUGUGGGGUGCUCGAGUGGCGAACGGGUGAGUAACACGUGAGUAACCUGCCCUUGACUUUGGGAUAACUUCAGGAAACUGGGGCUAAUACCGGAUAGGAGCUCCUGCUGCAUGGUGGGGGUUGGAAAGUUUCGGCGGUUGGGGAUGGACUCGCGGCUUAUCAGCUUGUUGGUGGGGUAGUGGCUUACCAAGGCUUUGACGGGUAGCCGGCCUGAGAGGGUGACCGGCCACAUUGGGACUGAGAGACGGCCCAGACUCCUACGGGAGGCAGCAGUGGGGAAUAUUGAACAAUGGGCGGAAGCCUGAUGCAGCAACGCCGCGUGCGGGAGGACGGCCUUCGGGUUGUAAACCGCUUUCGCCUGUGACGAAGCGUGAGUGACGGAAAUGGGUAAAGAAGCACCGGCUAACUACGU